rnacentral:rRNA from 1 species
GAUGAACGCUGGCGGCGUGCUUAACACAUGCAAGUCGAGCGAGUGAGUUCUUCGGAACGAUCUAGCGGUGGACGGGUGAGUAACACGUGGGCAACCUGCCUCAUAGAGGGGAAUAGCCUCCCGAAAGGGAGAUUAAUACCGCAUAAAAUUAUCGAGGAGCAUCACAUGAUAAUCAAAGGAGUAAUCCGCUAUGAGAUGGGCCCGCGGCGCAUUAGCUAGUUGGUGAGGUAACGGCUCACCAAGGCGACGAUGCGUAGCCGACCUGAGAGGGUGAUCGGCCACAUUGGGACUGAGACACGGCCCAGACUCCUACGGGAGGCAGCAGUGGGGAAUAUUGCACAAUGGGGGAAACCCUGAUGCAGCAACGCCGCGUGAGUGAUGAAGGUCUUCGGAUUGUAAAGCUCUGUCUUUGGGGACGAUAAUGACGGUACCCAAGGAGGAAGCCACGGCUAACUACGUGCCAGCCGCCGCUGUAA